UUAGUGAGGUCUCCGGAUUGGCUUUGGGGAGCCGGCGACGGCACCCUAUUGCUGAGAAGCUGAUCAAACUUGGUCAUUUAGAGGAAGUAAAAGUCGUAACAAGGUUUCCGUAGGUGAACCUGCGGAAGGAUCAUUAUCGAAUCGUAGGCGAGGGUUGUCGCUGGCCUCUCGGGGCAUGUGCACGCCCGAGCCCUUGAAUCCCAAACACCACAUGUGAACCCACCGUAGGCCUUCGGGCCUAUGUCUCAUCAUAUAAUCCGAAUGUCUAAUAGAAUGUAAACCCAUUUCGUUGCCUUGAAAACGUAACGAAAGAAAACUAUACAACUUUCAACAACGGAUCUCUUGGCUCUCGCAUCGAUGAAGAACGCAGCGAAAUGCGAUAAGUAAUGUGAAUUGCAGAUUUUCAGUGAAUCAUCGAAUCUUUGAACGCACCUUGCGCCCCUUGGUAUUCCGAGGGGCAUGCCUGUUUGAGUGUCAUUAAAUCCUCAACCCCUCCGAUUCGUUUCGGUGGGGAUUGGACUUGGAGCGUGCUGGCGAAGGUCGGCUCCUCUUUAAAUGCAUCAGCGGAGAAAAUGCCUUUUGCGCCUCUGGCCGUUCAGCGUGAUAAUGAUGUUGCGCUGCGGUCGAGCUUAAGGUCCGCUUCCAAAGGUCCUCGGACAAAUAUACAUAUGACUUUUGACCUCAAAUCAGGUAGGACUACCCGCUGAACUUAAGCAUAUCAAUAAGCGGAGGAAAAGAAACUAACAAGGAUUCCCCUAGUAACUGCGAGUGAAGCGGGAAAAGCUCAAAUUUAAAAUCUGGCGGUCUCCGGCCGUCCGAGUUGUAAUCUGGAGAAGCGUUUUCCGCGUCGGACCGUGUACAAGUCUUCUGGAACGGAGCGUCGUAGAGGGUGAGAAUCCCGUCUCUGACACGGACUGCCGAUGCUUUUGUGAUACGCUCUCG
rnacentral:rRNA from 1 species